AUUGAACGCUGGCGGCAUGCCUUACACAUGCAAGUCGAACGGCAGCACGGGUGCUUGCACCUGGUGGCGAGUGGCGAACGGGUGAGUAAUACAUCGGAACGUACCUUAUCGUGGGGGAUAACGCAGCGAAAGUUGCGCUAAUACCGCAUACGCCCUGAGGGGGAAAGCGGGGGACCGUAAGGCCUCGCGCGAUUAGAGCGGCCGAUGUCUGAUUAGAUUGUUGGUGAGGUAAAAGCUCACCAAGGCGAUGAUCAGUAGCUGGUCUGAGAGGACGAUCAGCCACAGUGGGACUGAGACACGGCCCAGACUCCUAAGGGAGGCAGCAGUGGGGAAUUUUGGACAAUGGGGGCAACCCUGAUCCAGCAAUGCCGCGUGAGUGAAGAAGGCCUUCGGGUUGUAAAGCUCUUUUGUCAGGGAAGAAACAGCAGCUCUAACACAGUCUGCGAAUGACGGUACCUGAAGAAUAAGCACCGGCUAACUACGUGCCAGCCGCCGCGGUAA
rnacentral:rRNA from 1 species